rnacentral:rRNA from 1 species
CUACGGGAGGCAGCAGUGAGGAAUUUUGCGCAAUGGGGGAAACCCUGACGCAGCAACGCCGCGUGAGUGAUGAAGGCCUUCGGGUCGUAAAGCUCUGUCAAGUGGGAAGAACCUAUCGAUAUUGAAUAUAUAUUGAUACUGACGGUACCACAAGAGGAAGCACCGGCUAACUCCGUGCCAGCAGCCGCGGUAAUACGGGGGGUGCAAGCGUUAUUCGGAAUCAUUGGGCGUAAAGGGCGCGCAGGCGGCCUUGUAAGUCAGAUGUGAAAGCCCGGGGCUCAACCCCGGAAGCGCAUUUGAAACUAUGAGGCUUGAGUAUGGGAGAGGGAAGUGGAAUUCCUGGUGUAGCGGUGAAAUGCGUAGAUAUCAGGAGGAACACCGGUGGCGAAGGCGACUUCCUGGACCAAUACUGACGCUGAGGCGCGAAGGCGUGGGGAGCAAACAGGAUUAGAUACCCCGGUAGUC